rnacentral:lncRNA from 1 species
GGUCAAUAUAGUUUUUGAUGAAGUUAAGUCAAAUCAACUUGAAACUUAGAACAAAUGUUCCCUAUGAUAUGAUCUUUCUAAUUUUAAUGUCAGUUUUGACCUUAAUUUUAUGGUCAACUGAACAUAGAAAAUUAUAAUGCGAGUGGGGCAUUCGUGUACUAUGGACACAUUCUUGUUUCGGUACGGGUUAGAAACCAUGAAAAUCAAAAUUUAAAUUACAUUAAAAAAAAUUGGAAAACAGCUGUCAUAUACCUGACUUGGGUACAGGUAUUUCCUUACGUAGAAAAUAAUGGAUUUUACCUAGUUUUAAAAAUGUUAUAGCUAGCUAAGCUUCUCAAUUG